GCCUGGCUGGCUCAGGCGGAAGAGCAUGCGACUCUUGAUCUCAGGGUUGUGAGUUUGAGCCCCAUGUUGGGUG
rnacentral:tRNA from 1 species